CCCGACAUACAAAACAGUAUCUUCCUGUGAGGGGCCAGAGAAUAGGCAGCACCUGGCUGCCCUGCACAAUUUGGAAGGCACUAGGAGGGACCUGUCAACCUGCACUCACUCACUCACCGGCGGGCCCCUUUGGGAAGAGCUGUUGCUCUUUGGCCCCAGGAAUCUUCUAUUUCUGCACCUGAGUGCCAGGCAAUUGUGGGGCCCCAUUAACCUACUCCACAAAGCGUAGGGGGCCUUGCUCUCGGCACUGGGCAUGCUCCCUCAGCACAUACAACAAAGAAGUCCCCCUCCCACUGAUUCUAGCAGGAGGCUGUUGGGGGGCAGUCAUGACACAGGCAUAUACAGUGUGUCAGAUGUGUCACAGCCCGGAGAGGGGAUGAGGAGAGCGCAGUGUUACUUCCUAGAGCAUGGCCCUGGGGAGCCUCCCACUAGGCUGACAUAUGGGCAGCCGUCUGGGAGCUUGACACUGGCAGAGGGGAAGAGCAUUCCAGGCAGACAAGAGUCAGUGCAAAGACCCCAAAGCAAGCAUCAAGGAGGCUGGGGGCUGCUGCAGAUCUGAUGAGGGGAUGGCAGGGGCAGAGCAGGCCUGAGAACACUGGCCUCCACUCUGAAUGAAACAGGGAUCCCCAGGCUGGGCACAGUGGCUCACGCCUGUAAUCUCGGCACUUUGGGAGGCCGAGGCGGGCGGAUCACGAGAUCAGGAGAUCGAGACCAUCCUGGUCAACAUGGUGAAACCCCAUCUCUACUAAAAAUACAUAAAUUAGUUGGGUGUGGUGGCGAGCGCCUGUAGUCCCGCUACUCGGGAGGCUGACGCAGGAGAAUCGCUUGAACCCGGGAGGCGGAGGUUGCAGUGAGCCGAGAUCGCGCUACCGCACUCCAGCCUGGGGACAGAGCAAGACUCUUUCUCAGAAAAAAAAAGAAAAAGAAAAAAGAAAAAGAAAGAAACAGGGAGCCCUUUUUGGGUGUCAGUGCCUGGUCUCAACUCCAUAGCUAUGGUGGAAGGUAAAGCAGUUUACCUUUUAACUACAUGAACAAGCAUGGCGGUGUUCCAGUUGAACUCCUUAGGAAACCGACAUUUUAAUUUUAUUUAUUUUUUUGAGACGGAGUCUUGCUCUGUCACCCAGACUGGAGUGCAGUGGCGCGAUCUCACCUCACUGCAACCUCCGCCUCCCGGGUUCAAGCGAUUCUUCUGCCUCAGUCUCCCGAGUAUCUGGGAUUACAGGAGCCCACCACCACGUCUGGCUAAUUUUUUAUUUUUUUUCAGUAGAGACGGGGUUUCUCCACGUUGGCCAGGCUGGUCUCGAACUCCUGAUCUCAGGUGAUCCACCCGCCUCGGCCUCCCAAAGUGCUGGGAUUACAGGCGUGAGCCACCGUGCCCGGCCGAUAUUUGAAAGUCAUAUACUUUUCAUAUAUCCUAAAAUACUGUUUUAAUUCUCCCCCAACCUCUUAAAAACGAGAAAAGCAUUCUUAGCUCAGGCACCAUAGAAAACCCGGCUGCAGGCUGGACGUGGACUUUGGAACAGUCGUGCCGGUGAAGGGGCACAGCCGCGGGGCAGGGGCGGGCUCCGGGCAAAGGCGGCCGGGAUAACUCCACGCUCCCGCUCCAGCCGGUGACCGCGACGCGGGCUCCUCUCACUCUCACACUCAGGCGGAGAAAAUGCCGAAAGCCGUGUCACCAACGGGGAACCUCAGGGCCACAUUCAGCAUGCAGAGUUUAUUUGGUCUGCUCAGACAUUUGUGUUAGGAAAUAACACAUUAAAAGUGCACAUUUCCUUCAGACCCUGAGAGGCGAGCGAGUCCCGUGCGCUCCGCACCGCCAGCCCCGGCCCCACGCCCGCCCAGAGGGCCGCCCUCCUCCCGCCGACCCGGCUCGGGGCUUAGGCGUUAAUCCAGACCCCCGGGGGGGCCGCGCGGGGAGCCCGGAUCGCCUUAGGGUCAAGGGC
rnacentral:lncRNA from 1 species